rnacentral:tRNA from 2 species
GGAGUGGUACUCAAGCGGCUGAAGAGGACGGUUUGCUAAAUCGUUAGUGGUCGUAAGGCCAGCGUGGGUUCAAAUCCCACCCACUCCGCCA